rnacentral:rRNA from 1 species
UACGGAGGGUGCGAGCGUUAAUCGGAAUUACUGGGCGUAAAGCGCGCGUAGGUGGUUCAGCAAGUUGGAGGUGAAAUCCCCGGGCUCAACCUGGGAACUGCCUCCAAAACUACUGAGCUAGAGUACGGUAGAGGGUAGUGGAAUUUCCUGUGUAGCGGUGAAAUGCGUAGAUAUAGGAAGGAACACCAGUGGCGAAGGCGACUACCUGGACUGAUACUGACACUGAGGUGCGAAAGCGUGGGGAGCAAACAGG